rnacentral:rRNA from 1 species
AAGAGUUUGAUCAUGGCUCAGGACGAACGCUGGCGGCGUGCUUAACACAUGCAAGUCGAACGGAAAGGCCCUUCGGGGUACUCGAGUGGCGAACGGGUGAGUAACACGUGGGUGAUCUGCCCUGCACUUUGGGAUAAGCCUGGGAAACUGGGUCUAAUACCGAAUAUGACCAUGCACUUCCUGGUGUGUGGUGGAAAGCUUUUGCGGUGUGGGAUGGGCCCGCGGCCUAUCAGCUUGUUGGUGGGGUAAUGGCCUACCAAGGCGACGACGGGUAGCCGGCCUGAGAGGGUGACCGGCCACACUGGGACUGAGAUACGGCCCAGACUCCUACGGGAGGCAGCAGUGGGGAAUAUUGCACAAUGGGCGCAAGCCUGAUGCAGCGACGCCGCGUGAGGGAUGACGGCCUUCGGGUUGUAAACCUCUUUCAGCACAGACGAAGCGCAAGUGACGGUAUGUGCAGAAGAAGG